rnacentral:lncRNA from 1 species
CUGACAUUCCCCAAAAAGCAGUUGGGAAGGCAGUUAAGGGGAUUCUGAACGUUGGAGAAUAGGCCACGGUUGCGCAGAGAACCGCGGCCUAUUCCCUGGUCUCAGUAAAUUUUAAAAUUUUCAGGGCAUAUGCCGCGGUUGGGCGCUGAACCGCGGCAUAUAAGUUAAAUAAAAUUUCAAAAAUGCCAUUCUGUAUUAUUUUUUUAAAAUGAAUAGGCCGCGGUUAUGUGUAGAACCGCGACCUAUUCCCCCUUUAUGCCGCGGUUAAGUGGAGAACCGCGACAGAUUCUCUUCCGAGGGUUAAAAAAACAAAAUUCACCACACAGUUCGUCUUCCCCACGCGAUUUGUGAAACAGUUUUUCUUCCCUGUGCGAUUUCCGUCCAGGCGCUCUGCUUCUCCGUCCAGUCUCUGCUUCUCCUUCCAUCUCCGCGCCGGACCUUGCUUCUCCGCCGCAACCGUGCCGGACCCUGCUUCUCCGCCGCAACCUUCUUCUCUCCGGU